GACAGAGGGUGCAAACGUUGUUCGGAAUUACUGGGCGUAAAGCGCGUGUAGGCGGCCCACUAAGUCUGAUGUGAAAGCCCGGGGCUCACCCCCGGAAGUGCAUUGGAAACUGGUGGACUCGAGUCCCGGAGAGGAGAGUGGAAUUCCUGGUGUAGCGGUGAAAUGCGUAGAUAUCAGGAGGAACACCGGUGGCGAAGGCGGCUAUCUGGACGGUGACUGACGCUGAGACGCGAAAGCGUGGGGAGCAAACAGG
rnacentral:rRNA from 1 species